rnacentral:rRNA from 1 species
UACAGAGACUGCAAGCGUUAUUCGGAUUCACUGGGCGUAAAGGGUGCGCAGGCGGCCAAGUGUGUGAGGCGUGAAAGCCCGGGGCUUAACCUCGGAAUUGCACCUCAAACUACAUGGCUAGAGCAUUGGAGAGGGUAGCAGAAUUCACGGUGUAGCAGUGAAAUGCGUAGAUAUCGUGAGGAAUACCAGAGGCGAAGGCGGCUACCUGGACAAUUGCUGACGCUCAGGCACGAAAGCGUGGGGAGCAAAAGGGAUUAGAAACCU